GGUUAAGCGACUAAGCGUACACGGUGGAUGCCCUGGCAGUCAGAGGCGAUGAAGGACGUGCUAAUCUGCGAUAAGCGUCGGUAAGGUGAUAUGAACCGUUAUAACCGGCGAUUUCCGAAUGGGGAAACCCAGUGUGAUUCGUCACACUAUCAUUAACUGAAUCCAUAGGUUAAUGAGGCGAACCGGGGGAACUGAAACAUCUAAGUACCCCGAGGAAAAGAAAUCAACCGAGAUUCCCCCAGUAGCGGCGAGCGAACGGGGAGCAGCCCAGAGCCUGAAUCAGUGUGUGUGUUAGUGGAAGCGUCUGGAAAGGCGCGCGAUACAGGGUGACAGCCCCGUACACAAAAAUGCACAUGCUGUGAGCUCGAUGAGUAGGGCGGGACACGUGGUAUCCUGUCUGAAUAUGGGGGGACCAUCCUCCAAGGCUAAAUACUCCUGACUGACCGAUAGUGAACCAGUACCGUGAGGGAAAGGCGAAAAGAACCCCGGCGAGGGGAGUGAAAAAGAACCUGAAACCGUGUACGUACAAGCAGUGGGAGCACAGAGCAAUCUGUGUGACUGCGUACCUUUUGUAUAAUGGGUCAGCGACUUAUAUUCUGUAGCAAGGUUAACCGAAUAGGGGAGCCGAAGGGAAACCGAGUCUUAACUGGGCGUUAAGUUGCAGGGUAUAGACCCGAAACCCGGUGAUCUAGCCAUGGGCAGGUUGAAGGUUGGGUAACACUAACUGGAGGACCGAACCGACUAAUGUUGAAAAAUUAGCGGAUGACUUGUGGCUGGGGGUGAAAGGCCAAUCAAACCGGGAGAUAGCUGGUUCUCCCCGAAAGCUAUUUAGGUAGCGCCUCGUGAAUUCAUCUCCGGGGGUAGAGCACUGUUUCGGCAAGGGGGUCAUCCCGACUUACCAACCCGAUGCAAACUGCGAAUACCGGAGAAUGUUAUCACGGGAGACACACGGCGGGUGCUAACGUCCGUCGUGAAGAGGGAAACAACCCAGACCGCCAGCUAAGGUCCCAAAGUCAUGGUUAAGUGGGAAACGAUGUGGGAAGGCCCAGACAGCCAGGAUGUUGGCUUAGAAGCAGCCAUCAUUUAAAGAAAGCGUAAUAGCUCACUGGUCGAGUCGGCCUGCGCGGAAGAUGUAACGGGGCUAAACCAUGCACCGAAGCUGCGGCAGCGACGCUGAUGCGUUGUUGGGUAGGGGAGCGUUCUGUAAGCCUGCGAAGGUGUGCUGUGAGGCAUGCUGGAGGUAUCAGAAGUGCGAAUGCUGACAUAAGUAACGAUAAAGCGGGUGAAAAGCCCGCUCGCCGGAAGACCAAGGGUUCCUGUCCAACGUUAAUCGGGGCAGGGUGAGUCGACCCCUAAGGCGAGGCCGAAAGGCGUAGUCGAUGGGAAACAGGUUAAUAUUCCUGUACUUGGUGUUACUGCGAAGGGGGGACGGAGAAGGCUAUGUUGGCCGGGCGACGGUUGUCCCGGUUUAAGCGUGUAGGCUGGUUUUCCAGGCAAAUCCGGAAAAUCAAGGCUGAGGCGUGAUGACGAGGCACUACGGUGCUGAAGCAACAAAUGCCCUGCUUCCAGGAAAAGCCUCUAAGCAUCAGGUAACAUCAAAUCGUACCCCAAACCGACACAGGUGGUCAGGUAGAGAAUACCAAGGCGCUUGAGAGAACUCGGGUGAAGGAACUAGGCAAAAUGGUGCCGUAACUUCGGGAGAAGGCACGCUGAUAUGUAGGUGAAGUCCCUCGCGGAUGGAGCUGAAAUCAGUCGAAGAUACCAGCUGGCUGCAACUGUUUAUUAAAAACACAGCACUGUGCAAACACGAAAGUGGACGUAUACGGUGUGACGCCUGCCCGGUGCCGGAAGGUUAAUUGAUGGGGUCAGCGCAAGCGAAGCUCUUGAUCGAAGCCCCGGUAAACGGCGGCCGUAACUAUAACGGUCCUAAGGUAGCGAAAUUCCUUGUCGGGUAAGUUCCGACCUGCACGAAUGGCGUAAUGAUGGCCAGGCUGUCUCCACCCGAGACUCAGUGAAAUUGAACUCGCUGUGAAGAUGCAGUGUACCCGCGGCAAGACGGAAAGACCCCGUGAACCUUUACUAUAGCUUGACACUGAACAUUGAGCCUUGAUGUGUAGGAUAGGUGGGAGGCUUUGAAGUGUGGACGCCAGUCUGCAUGGAGCCGACCUUGAAAUACCACCCUUUAAUGUUUGAUGUUCUAACGUUGACCCGUAAUCCGGGUUGCGGACAGUGUCUGGUGGGUAGUUUGACUGGGGCGGUCUCCUCCUAAAGAGUAACGGAGGAGCACGAAGGUUGGCUAAUCCUGGUCGGACAUCAGGAGGUUAGUGCAAUGGCAUAAGCCAGCUUGACUGCGAGCGUGACGGCGCGAGCAGGUGCGAAAGCAGGUCAUAGUGAUCCGGUGGUUCUGAAUGGAAGGGCCAUCGCUCAACGGAUAAAAGGUACUCCGGGGAUAACAGGCUGAUACCGCCCAAGAGUUCAUAUCGACGGCGGUGUUUGGCACCUCGAUGUCGGCUCAUCACAUCCUGGGGCUGAAGUAGGUCCCAAGGGUAUGGCUGUUCGCCAUUUAAAGUGGUACGCGAGCUGGGUUUAGAACGUCGUGAGACAGUUCGGUCCCUAUCUGCCGUGGGCGCUGGAGAACUGAGGGGGGCUGCUCCUAGUACGAGAGGACCGGAGUGGACGCAUCACUGGUGUUCGGGUUGUCAUGCCAAUGGCACUGCCCGGUAGCUAAAUGCGGAAGAGAUAAGUGCUGAAAGCAUCUAAGCACGAAACUUGCCCCGAGAUGAGUUCUCCCUGACUCCUUGAGAGUCCUGAAGGAACGUUGAAGACGACGACGUUGAUAGGCCGGGUGUGUAAGCGCAGCGAUGCGUUGAGCUAACCGGUACUAAUGAACCGUGAGGCUUAACCUU
rnacentral:rRNA from 1 species